rnacentral:rRNA from 1 species
GUGUUAUACAGCGAAACUGCGAAUGGCUCAUUAAAACAGUUAUAGUUUAUUUGAUAAUCGAAUUUACAUGGAUAACCGUGGUAAUUCUAGAGCUAAUACAUGCUGGUAGGCCCGACUUUUGCGGAAGGGCGGUAUUUAUUAGAUAACAAGCCAAUAUUCCUCUGGUCUAUUGUGGUGACUCAUAAUAACUGAUCGAAUCGCAAGGCCUUUGGCCGCGAUAAGUCAUUCAAGUUUCUGCCCCAUCAGCUUUCGAUGGUAGUGUAUUGGACUACCAUGGCGUUUACGGGUAACGGAGGAUUAGGGUUCGAUUCCGGAGAGGGAGCCUGAGAAACGGCUACCACAUCUAAGGAAGGCAGCAGGCGCGUAAAUUACCCAAUCCUGACUCAGGGAGGUAGUGACAAGAAAUAACGGACCGAGGCCUUCGGGCUUCGGGAUUGGAAUGAGCCGAAUUUACACCCCUUAGCGAAGAUCGAUUGGAGGGCAAGUCUGGUGCCAGCAGCCGCGGUAAUUCCAGCUCCAAUAGCGUAUAUUAAAGUUGUUGCAGUUAAAAAGCUCGUAGUUGGAUUUCUGGGAGGGUGCCGAUGUCCACUUAACGUGUGCGCAGCGGCGCCCUCUCAUCCUUCUGUUAGCGUCUCUUGGCAUUCAUUUGCUGGUGGCGGGCUCAGAUAUUUUACCUUGAGAAAAUUAGAGUGUUUCAGGCAGGCUAGGCCGGAAUACAUUAGCAUGGAAUAAUGGAAUAGGACUACGGUCUCUUUGUUGGUUUGAGGGACUGCAGUAAUGAUUAAUAGGGAUAGUUGGGGGCAUUAGUACUUAACUGUCAG